UAAAUACUCCCUCCAUCCGGAAAUAUUUGUCAUCGAAAUGAACAAAGGGGAUGUAUUUAGAUAUAUUUUAGUUCUAGAUACAUCACUUUUUAUUCGUUUUGAUAACAAGUAUUUUCGGACGGAGGGAAUAGUAU
rfam:Triticum urartu cultivar G1812 contig724593, whole genome shotgun sequence.